rnacentral:rRNA from 1 species
CACAAGCGGUGGAGUAUGUGGUUUAAUUCGAUGCAACGCGAAGAACCUUACCUGGUCUUGACAUCCCGGAGACCCUUAGGAAACUAGGGGGUGCUUCCAUCUGGAAGAAUCUGGGGACAGGUGCUGCAUGGCUGUCGUCAGCUCGUGUCGUGAGAUGUUGGGUUAAGUCCCGCAACGAGCGCAACCCUUGCCUUUAGUUGCCAGCAGUUCGGCUGGGCACUCUAAAGGGACUGCCGGUGUUAAACCGGAGGAAGGUGGGGAUGACGUCAAGUCCUCAUGGCCUUUAUGACCAGGGCUACACACGUACUACAAUGGCCGAUACAAAGGGCAGCGACACUGCGAGGUGAAGCCAAUCCCGUAAAAUCGGUCUCAGUCCGGAUUGGAGUCUGCAACUCGACUCCAUGAAGUUGGAAUCGCUAGUAAUCGUGGAUCAGCAUGCCACGGUGAAUACGUUCCCGGGCCUU